rnacentral:rRNA from 1 species
CCUACGGGUGGCUGCAGUGGGGAAUUUUGGACAAUGGGCGCAAGCCUGAUCCAGCCAUGCCGCGUGAGUGAAGAAGGCCUUCGGGUUGUAAAGCUCUUUCGGACGGAAAGAAAUCGCGCAGGCUAAUACCCUGCGCGGAUGACGGUACCGUCAUAAGAAGCACCGGCUAACUACGUGCCAGCAGCCGCGGUAAUACGUAGGGUGCGAGCGUUAAUCGGAAUUACUGGGCGUAAAGCGUGCGCAGGCGGUUGAUUAAGACAGGCGUGAAAUCCCCG